UCCGGUUGAUCCUGCCAGAGGUUACUGCUAUCGAGGUUCGACUAAGCCAUGCGAGUCGAAUGUAGCAAUACAUGGCGUACUGCUCAGUAACACGUGGACAACCUGCCCUUAGGUUGGGUAUAAACCCGGGAAACUGGGUAUAAUCCCCUAUAAGUCUCGGCUGCUGGAAUGCACCGAGAUUAAAAGCUCCGGCGCCUAAGGAUGGGUCUGCGGCCUAUCAGGUAGUAGUGGGUGUAGCGUACCUACUAGCCUACGACGGGUACGGGUUGUGAGAGCAAGAGCCCGGAGAUGGAUUCUGAGACACGAAUCCAGGCCCUACGGGGUGCAGCAGGCGCGAAAACUUUACAAUGCUGGCAACAGCGAUAAGGGAACCUCGAGUGCCAGGUUACAAAUCUGGCUGUCGAGAUGCCUAAAAAGCAUUUCAUAGCAAGGGCCGGGCAAGACCGGUGCCAGCCGCCGCGGUAACACCGGCGGCUCGAGUGGUAACCGUUAUUAUUGGGUCUAAAGGGUCUGUAGCCGGCCGGAUAAGUCUCUUGAGAAAUCUGGCAGCUUAACCGUCA
rnacentral:rRNA from 1 species